rnacentral:rRNA from 1 species
CCUACGGGCGGCAGCAGUGAGGAAUAUUGGUCAAUGGGCGCGAGCCUGAACCAGCCAAGUCGCGUGAGGGAUGAAGGUUCUAUGGAUCGUAAACCUCUUUUAUAAGGGAGUAAAGUGUGGGACGUGUCCUAUUUUGUAUGUACCUUAUGAAUAAGGAUCGGCUCACUCCGUGCCAGCCGCCUCGGUAAUACGGAGGAUCCGAUCGUUAUCCGGAUUUAUGGGGUUUAAAGGGUGCGUAGGCGGCCGUUUAAGUCAGCGGUGAAAGUCUGUGGCUCAACCAUUGAAUUGCCGUUGAUACUGGGGGGCUUGAGUAUGUUUGAGGCAGGCGGAAUGCGAGGUGUAGCGGUGAAAUGCGUAGAUAUCACGCAGAAUCCCGAUGGCGAAGGCAGCCUGACAAGCCAUGACUGACGCUGAUGCACGAAAGCGUGGGGAUCAAACAGGAUUAGAUACCCCUGUAGUC